rnacentral:tRNA from 1 species
GAGGGUAGAGUUCAGUGGUAGAGCGUGUGCUUAGCAUGCAUGAGGUUGUGGGUUCAAUCCCCAGUACCUCUG